UACGUAGGGUGCAAGCGUUAAUCGGAAUUACUGGGCGUAAAGCGUGCGCAGGCGGCUUUGCAAGACAGAUGUGAAAUCCCCGGGCUCAACCUGGGAACUGCAUUUGUGACUGCAUGGCUAGAGUACGGUAGAGGGGGAUGGAAUUCCGCGUGUAGCAGUGAAAUGCGUAGAUAUGCGGAGGAACACCGAUGGCGAAGGCAAUCCCCUGGACCUGUGACUGACGCUCAUGCACGAAAGCGUGGGGAGCAACAGG
rnacentral:rRNA from 1 species